rnacentral:rRNA from 1 species
CCUACGGGGGGCAGCAGUGGGGAAUAUUGGACAAUGGGCGAAAGCCUGAUCCAGCAAUGCCGCGUGAGUGAUGAAGGCCCUAGGGUUGUAAAGCUCUUUUACCCGGGAUGAUAAUGACAGUACCGGGAGAAUAAGCUCCGGCUAACUCCGUGCCAGCAGCCGCGGUAAUACGGAGGGAGCUAGCGUUGUUCGGAAUUACUGGGCGUAAAGCGCACGUAGGCGGCUAUUCAAGUCAGGGGUGAAAUCCCGGGUCUCAACCUCGGAACUGCCCUUGAAACUGGAUGGCUAGAAUCCUGGAGAGGCGAGUGGAAUUCCGAGUGUAGAGGUGAAAUUCGUAGAUAUUCGGAAGAACACCAGUGGCGAAGGCGACUCGCUGGACAGGUAUUGACGCUGAGGUGCGAAAGCGUGGGGAGCAAACAGGAUUAGAUACCCGAGUAGUCG